rnacentral:rRNA from 1 species
GUAGGGAGCAAGCGUUAUCCGGAUUUAUUGGGUGUAAAGGGUGCGUAGACGGGACAACAAGUUAGUUGUGAAAUCCCUCGGCUUAACUGAGGAACUGCAACUAAAACUAUUGUUCUUGAGUGUUGGAGAGGAAAGUGGAAUUCCUAGUGUAGCGGUGAAAUGCGUAGAUAUUAGGAGGAACACCGGUGGCGAAGGCGACUUUCUGGACAAUAACUGACGUUGAGGCACGAAAGUGUGGGGAGCAAACAGGAUUAGAUACCCUGGUAGUCCACGCCGUAAACGAUGGAUACUAGGUGUAGGAAAUGAUUUCAUUUUCUGUGCCGUCGCAAACGCAAUAAGUAUCCCACCUGGGGAGU